GAAGUAAGAUAUGUAAUCGCGGCUGGCAGGACCGAAAGGGGCCAGGUGAGGAAAGUCCGGGCUUCGCAGGGCAGGGUGCCGGAUAACGUCCGGCGGAGGUGACUCCAGGGAUAGUGCAACAGAGAGAUACCGCCAGAGGGAUCUUUGAUUCUUCUAGUAAGGGUGGAAAGGCAGUGUAAGAGACUACCGUUUCUCUGGUAACAGAGGAAGCCAUGUAAACCCCAUCCGAAGCAAGACCGAAUAGAAAACGUAUAUGGCUGCCCGUCAUGUUUUCAGGUGGGUCGCUGAAGGGGACUGGCGACAGUUCCAUUGGAUAGAUGAUUACACACGACAUAACCCGGCUUAUCGUUUUGCUUUGUUU
rnacentral:RNase_P_RNA from 1 species